GGGAAAGGAUUUGGGUGGCGCCGGUCUUUAGAAACCGGUCAGAGAGCAGGCGUGGUGACCGGCGCCUCCCUCUCCUGAUAUGUCAGGAAGAAAAAGGAGUAGUUUUCAAAAUCUGAGACAGAUGGGCUGUAUUUUCAAUGGACCUCAUCGCUGGCCUGGAUUCUGAGACACAUAAAACAGAUUAGAGACGCUCGUAGCUUGACUGGCUUGGGAUCCCCAGCCCUGAGGACGUGCAACUCUCGGGGUCACGGUGGAGGAAGAAGGGCUGCUGAUCAAACCAACCUCUUGGUCGAGGGCCUGGGACAUUUUGACCCAGCUCUUCUGCUCCUGUGGACCUUUGGACCCCGAAGACACUCAGAAUGCAAGCAUUUUAAUCAGAACUACCCAACCGGGGUGAGUUUUCAUCUCGAAAGGACCAGAAUUCCACAGGGAACUCCAUUAAGCCAAUUGAAUCCCUUUAUCAAUUUUCUAUACAGCUCAGUUAAACCAUUUCCGAUAUUUCCAUUUCCAUUUUGCUGAAAUUAUUUUCCUAGAGAUCAAUUCUUUUGCAUUUAGAAUUUCACAGAGGAGAUUUGCUUCCUAAAUCUGUUUUUUUUUUUUUUUUUUUUUUUUUGUCUUUUUGUCUUUUGUUGUUGUUGCUGUUGUUGCUAUUUCUUGGGCCACUCCCGCGGCAUGUGGAGGUUCCCAGGCUAGGGGUCGAAUCGGAGCUGCAGCCACCGGCCUACGCCAGAGCCACAGCAACUCGGGAUCCGAGCCGCGUCUGCAACCUACACCACAGCUCAGGGCAACGCCGGAUCCUCAACCCACUGAGCAAGGGCAGGGACCGAACCCGCAACCUCAUGGUUCCUAGUCGGAUUCGUUAACCACUGCGCCACGACGGGAACUCCAGUUUUGUUUUUUUUUGUUUUUUUUAAAAUCCAUCUCCACCUUUACCAAUUGCAGCUUCUGCCACUGUGCGUGGCCACGCUUUCUUCAAGGAUCAUCUUUCUGGGCCAUUGUUAUAGUUCAUGUUAGUUCUGAGUUAAUCCAGGAGGAAACAGGCAGCAGUUUGAUGGGAUUGGGGGAUAGGC
rnacentral:lncRNA from 1 species